rnacentral:rRNA from 1 species
ACUCAAAGGAAUUGACGGGGGCCCGCACAAGCGGUGGAGCAUGUGGUUUAAUUCGAAGCAACGCGAAGAACCUUACCAAGGCUUGACAUGGAGCUGACCGGGGUAGAGAUACCCCUUCCCUUCGGGGCGGCUCACACAGGUGGUGCAUGGUUGUCGUCAGCUCGUGUCGUGAGAUGUUGGGUUAAGUCCCGCAACGAGCGCAACCCUUAUCUUUAGUAGCCAGCAUGUAGUGAUGGGCACAUUAGAGAGACUGCCGUGGAUAACACGGAGGAAGGUGGGGACGAGGUCAAAUCAUCAUGCCCCUUAUGUCUUGGGCAACACACGUGCUACAAUGGCUCAUACAGAGUGAAGCAAGACUGUGAAGUGGAGCAAACCACGAAAAUGAGUCCCAGUUCGGAUUGUAGUCUGCAACCCGACUACAUGAAGUUGGAAUCGCUAGUAAUCGCAAAUCAGCAUGUUGCGGUGAAUACGUUCCCGGGCCUUGUACACACCGCCCGU